rnacentral:misc_RNA from 1 species
CUUCAUAUCGCGCAGAGGACGGGAGGGGAUGCGCGUUCUGCGCUCAACGCACUCGAGGCCGCGGCUCUCCUCAGCACCGGCAGUGGACGUGUCGACCUCGAAGCGGUUGAGGAAGCUCUACAGCAACGCGCUCUUCC